GCUUCGGUGACCUAGUGGUUAGAGUGUCCGCCUCGGAUGCGGGAGGUCUUGGGGUCGAAUUCCGGCUGAGUCA